rnacentral:RNase_P_RNA from 1 species
GAGGGAAAGCUCAGUGCUGAGGUUACAGACAGAGUGUAGGGGUCACUCUAUGUGCCUCAGGGAAGGUCUGAGACUGGAGCUCCUAGUUGCCCCUGCAGGGCAUCCCUUGGAUGAAGGGGGUGGUUUCCCAGAGAACUUGGCUCUGAUUGCCCAGUGAGUGCAAAAGAUGCAGCAAGUCCCCAAUGUUGUGCUUCUGCAGAUGCAAAGGCAUCAGGUUGGCAUGCCCACAGCUGGCACAUUCAGCUCAAUGGCUGAGAGGGAACUGCCCUGUGGUUUCCAACCCAAUUCAGACUACUUCCUCACUUU